CCUACGGGCGGCAGCAGUGAGGAAUAUUGGUCAAUGGGCGCGAGCCUGAACCAGCCAAGUAGCGUGAAGGAUGACUGCCCUACGGGUUGUAAACUUCUUUUAUAAAGGAAUAAAGUGAGGCACGUGUGCCUUCUUGGAUGUACUCUAGGAAUAAGGAUCGGGUAAACCCGUGACAGCAGCCGCGGUAAUACGGAGGAGCCGAGCGUUACCCGGAUUUAGUGGGUUUAAAGGGAGCGUAGAUGGGGUGUUAAGUCAGUUGUGAAAGUUUGCGGCCCAACCGUAAAAUUGCAAUUGAUACUGGCAGCCUUGAGUACAGUUGAGGUAGGCGGAAUGCGUGGUGUAGCGGUGAAAUGCUUAGAUAUCACGAAGAACUCCGAUUGCGAAGGCAGCUUGCUAAACUGCCACUGACAUUGAUGCUCGAAAGUGUGGGGAUCAAACAGGAUUAGAUACCCGGGUAGUC
rnacentral:rRNA from 1 species